rnacentral:rRNA from 1 species
AACGAACGCUGGCGGCGUGCCUAACACAUGCAAGUCAAACGGUUUGGUAGCAAUAUCAAGCAGUGGCGCACGGGUGAGUAAUGCAUGGAUAAUCUGCCUUGUAGAGAGGGAUAACUAGACGAAAGUUUAGCUAAUACCUCAUAAGUAGCUUUGCUGGAGGGUGGAGCUAGAAAGGAUGGGGACCGCAAGGCCUAUCGCUAUAAGAUGAGUCCAUGUCCCAUUAGCUAGUUGGUAGGGUAAAAGCCUACCAAGGCGAAGAUGGGUAACUGGUCUGAGAGGACGAUCAGUCACACUGGAACUGAGACACGGGUCCAGACUCCUACGGGAGGCAGCAGUGGGGAAUAUUGCGCAAUGGGCGAAAGCCUGACGCAGCAACGCCGCGUGAGUGAA